CUGCCCUCUAGCGGCGCCGGCCGUUCUACACAGGAAACCUCCACUUUACAUGCAUUCAGGAAACCUCCACUUGUUUUUAUAUUGAGCGCAUGCCAUCCUGUGAUGUGACAGAUCCAACGGCUGCCUGAACCCUUCUCUCCUGUACUGUAAGUACAUAUGAUGUAUGUGGGGGGGGGGGGUCUGCUUAUUAUUCUGCUUAAAAGUCUGAGCAGUAAACUUUGGAUAUACUGACCACUUCCGUGUCACUUUACAGUGGUAUAGGGACCAUAAACUACAAUCAAAUAACCCAAAAAUGUCCAAGAAAAGAAAAGUUGAUGCAGAGGGAAGGCAAUUUCAGGAGAGAUGGGAAAGUGAAUACAUGUUUGUGAUUAAUGUGAUUACUUACAUUAUUACAAAAAACAGUAAUAAUUGAAUGCAGUGACAGUAAUUUAUGAUAAUAAAGAGUGGACACAUAGUCCUACAGAUACAACCGGCCCUUUGAGGGUGACCAAACUGCUGAUGCGGCCCCCGAUGAAUUUGAGUUUGACACCCCUGCUCUAGGAGGCAAAUGGGCACAGGGCAUCUCAGUCUCCCUUCUCCUUUCAGAAAGUUCUAUGAGCAUCCAAAGCAGAGGAGGUGUAGCAGAAUCAUCACAUUUCCCUCCCCAAAACCCAAGGGGUAGUGUUAUGUACCGAGCUUUAAUCCCAGAACAAUACACAGGUAGGCUCCUAGAAUGCAACAACCUGAUUGGCUGGAAGGAGCAGGCCAAUUAGGCCCCAGGAGGAAGUGAAUCAGCCAGUCACACGGGGCCCAUUAUGUAAAUAAUGUAUAUAAAGCCAGAGGUUUGGGGGGAAUUUCAAUGACUGUUCCUAUGAGCUGAAAUAAAGAGCACAAAAUCACUACUCGACUCUGAGUAUAUUUCAGGUGGCAAAACUUGGGCAAAAGAUUCUUGCAUUGUAGGAGGGUCAGACUAGAUGGGAAUGGCAGCACAUGGAAGAGCCAGUUCUAGCCAAGCCUGGGUGCCAUUCUCUAAUGAGCCAGUGGGACAACUCACAUGCUUAAUGUUCAGUAGGUGCUGAACCGAGGCUUUAGCCUCAGAAGGCCAAUCAUUUCCUUUCUCCUUCAGUGAGCCUAGGCCAUGGGUAGCUGACAUGUCAUGCUCCAGAUGUUGGGGCUGCAACUUCCAUCAUUUCUGACCACUGACAAUACUGGCUGGAGCUGCUGGGAAUGGGAGUCUACAACAUCUGGAAGGCAUGGCUUUGGGUGCCCAUGGCUUAGGCAUGAAAUCUAGUGACAGGUAAGUCAAGUCUCUCAAAACUGAGGCAGGUGCUACACAUUACCGCAGCAAGUAUGAGUUCCACAAACCAUGUUUGCCAGGGUAACAUGAGUAUGGUUUAUAAAUACUUAUAAAUAAAUGCUGGAAUUGAGUGGGGCCGGAGUGAGAGAGCAUCUGCACAGAGAAUCAGUGGGUGUGAGGUAUAGGCGAUUUUGGUAACAUCUGACUGGCCUUGUAGGAAAUAUGAUGAUAGACUAACUAGGCCCUUGGUCUGAUCCUGCAGAACUCUCCUUAUAGUCUCAAUUCUUCACCAUGCACUCUGUUUCUCUUCCACACAGGCUUCCCCCAUAACCAGCCUUAUUCCUAGUCUUGGGAUCUGGCUGUGGGGAAAAUGAAGCAUGUUCUGCAGUAAAACUGCUUUCCCAAACUCACACUAGUGCUAGAAGGCAAACAUUCCUCAUAAAGUGUGGUUCCGGCCUAAAGCUUCCCUCACAUUUUUGCUAGUUAAUAAAUGCUAUUAUCCUGUCCACCACCACCCGCCCCCGUUCUGUGUCUUUUCCAGAAAAGCUUUUUCUGCAAAGAAGAGCCUGGCUGUUUGCCUUCGACAAAGCCAGAAGAAAAUGGAGGAGGGGGAGAGAGAAGAGAUGACAAAGCAAGAGCUUUUAAGAAGAAGAAUAGCUACAGCGAGCAAUUCCAUAUGUGUAUGUGUUGCAUUUGCAAUUUGUUUCAGGUUUCCAAAUUAUGCUUAGAUUGGAUCAUAUUUCAAAUUAAACAUGCAAAAUAACAGCUUGUGUGUGUACAUGCAUGUGAGACUAUUAGUACAAUGUAGGAAUGCUCUUAUGGGGGUAAAGCUAGUGUUGUUGUUUUGUUGUUGUUGAUAUAUAUAUACACACAUACACACACACUGUAGUUAUAUAAAUAGAAUCCUGAAAGACAACAAGGAAACGCCUGCAAAAACACUCAUCCUCAAAUGUCAACAUGCAGUGGAAAAAGUGAAGUCAUUUUAAAAGUCAGAUGCCCAGGUCGUACAGUGAAGGCACUGAAAAGAAAACUCAAAGGCCAAAGUUCAAAUCCUGAUGGGAAGAAAAAGAUUCAUGGAAGGAGAACAUUUGAAAACUGCCGUCUUGAGAAUAGCAAUGGGUAAACUUCUGUUGAUUCAAUUUGGCAUUGGAUUUGGCAAAUUUCCCCUUCCCUCAAACACACACACACACACACACACACACACACACACACACACACACGCGAAAACCACCACAAGUCAUUAGCACCUUCUCCUUUUAUAUGAACUUUGAAACCUGUUGUAUUUCUGUUGAUACUAGAAGCAUGAAAAGGUUUGUUCCCACCCUUUGUGUGUUAAGAUCCCAAGACCUCCCUCAAUAAAUAAAGGCACAAUUGACACGGAA
rnacentral:lncRNA from 1 species